rnacentral:rRNA from 1 species
AGUGAACGCUGGCGGUAGGCCUAACACAUGCAAGUCGAACGGCAGCACAGGAGAGCUUGCUCUCUGGGUGGCGAGUGGCGGACGGGUGAGGAAUACAUCGGAAUCUACCUUUUCGUGGGGGAUAACGUAGGGAAACUUACGCUAAUACCGCAUACGACCUACGGGUGAACGUGGGGGACCGCAAGGCCUCACGCGAUUAGGUGAGCCGAUGUCCGAUUAGCUAGUUGGCGGGGUAAUGGCCCACCAAGGCGACGAUCGGUUGCUGGUCUGAGAGGAUGAUCAGCCACACUGGAACUGAGACACGGUCCAGACUCCUACGGGAGGCAGCAGUGGGGAAUAUUGGACAAUGGGCGCAAGCCUGAUCCAGCCAUACCGCGUGGGUGAAGAAGGCCUUCGGGUUGUAAAGCCCUUUUGUUGGGAAAGAAAUCCUGUCGAUUAAUACUCGGUGGGGAUGACGGUACCCAAAGAAUAAGCACCGGCUAACUUCGUGCCAGCCGCCGCCGUAACAC